GCCAACGUGGUGUUUGCUGCUGCCAUGGCAGCCAUGCUGCUGCUGCAACAUCCCCGGAAGACAUACGAUUAAAAGGCAACAUUAAACCAACGAUAGAUUCACUGGAAACAGAUGGGAAAAAAGAAAUGACAGAACACAUGUUCCACGCUGCUGGGACUCGAUAUCUGAAAGCUGUCUGCAAAAUUCGCGGCAAACAGAAACUAUGAUAAAACGGAAAACACUGGAAUUCCGGCAGAAUUUGAUGUGUUAAUGGUAUCUUCAAUCCAAGACGAGUAAGAGCUAAUCCUCGUGUAUCCGCUGGGAUGACCUUUUUGCAGCCUCGAUCCGAUCCAAAAGAGAUGAUUCCAAUCUGCUUCCACGUCCCAUCCGGCUGUUGGAAAUUCAUGGGGCCGCCACUGUCACCCUGGAGUAUUAAACCUACUAUGCAAGUUCCACUGCUAUUGGCUCCGCUAGUGCAAAUAAUUGCGUCCAUGAUGUUGCUGCCGUAAGUGAGACGGCAUUUAUCAUUAGAAAUAACUGGAACUGUCAUCUUGUGAAGUACAGGACUCAUGUGACGUGACUAUUGACAUAAUCCGGCUCGCUUGAACUCGCUACUCAAACGGGACUGAUAUAUUUUGUGCAAAUUAUCUUUACCCGAGAAUUUGACAGAGGAUUUCAGUUUAAUUAGAGCAAUGUCUCCAACCUGCAUAGUGGGAUUCCAGUCAGGGUGGACGAAAUUCUCACUGCUCGAGUAUGAUUUCUGGUUGUCUUCUGACACCUUGCGAUCGUGUUUGCCCAGGUCAAUAAAUCCUGAAAAGAGUAAUGUCGUAAAUACCCUGGUACGACGAGACAACGUGCAGCUGUGAGGAUCCAUUGGUCGGAAAUCAAACUUCCUCCGCAGGCGUAAGCAUUGCCUCCUUGCAUCCCUACUUGGAUGAAGGCUUGCCACAGAAGAACUCGUUGGCUAUAACCUGUUCUCCUCCAGCAAUCCUGUUGUUUUCCACGCCGGGCGAUAUCCGCUUGGUUUUAGCUACACCGCAGCCUGAAGACGUCUUACUGAUUCUAGUGCUGCCAUAUACUGCCGGAGCCACAGCCACAAAGAUGGUAACCAGAGUAAGGAGCCUCAUGGGACAAUGCGUUUGGGCAAUAGUUGUUCAGAUAUCCUGUGCGUUAAGUCUUGAGAUGUGUCAAGUGGCUUUACAGGCACAUUUGCAAUCACAAACUAAAUCGUUCGUGUGUUUUUUUUUUUAUCUGUUGACAUAGCAAAACACUUUAUUUUGUGGUUCCCAUCUGGUCUCUUUUCAAAUAAGUUAUCGAUAGAGUAGAUUGACGUAGUAGAUAAGAAACAAAGUUGCAUCUUAGUCCAGUAAACAAUAAACUAGUCACUGUAAUCAUUACAAAAUGAAAUGUGUCACUAUGGCGCAAAUCAACAUUUCCAUGAUUUCGUCUUUUGAUGAUUAAUAAGUCUUCAAGUGGUCCUUAAAAGAGCUCAACUUAUAUCUUAGGUAAUUUUUAAAAAUGUUAUUGAACGGCUUCAUGUAUUGUUUUUUGAAUGAUAGGGCCAAUGACCGUAGUAGUUUAUUGGUUGUACAGUAUUUCGAAACACAGAGGUGAUUUAUCGGUUAGAAAAUGUAAUCGAAAUUUGUUUCCAAUUAUUCUGCAGAUGUUGUACGUUUUUCCGUUAACUUCCACGUACAACAAAUUAUCGAUAUGACCGAUGAUGCAGUUUUAAAACAUUGACAUAAAGAGGCUCUUGUUCUUUUCAUUUUGUUUAAUUUGCAUUGUGGAAAGGUUCAGCAGUUUAGCAAACAUUCGGUUGAUCCAAGUGCAAUUCGUUCUCUGGCGAUGUUACAGAAAAAUAUAAUUCAUGAGCAUAUUUGUUGUGAAACAAACGAUGAUGCUUUUGUGGCAACGAUCCCGUUGACGAUUACAGCUAAAAUGCCGCUGAUGAUCAUUAAGGAAUCGAUGGCAGCUCUGUCACCUGGAAAAUUUACGAUCGAUAAUUGGUAGUAUAUCAGAGACGAUCAAUAGCUUACAAAUUUUGGUCAAACCGCAAUUAGCUAUCGCUUCCUGAUAGCUACUAAUUCUCCACGAAAAAAGUCCUAUUAACGUGAUACCAAUCAACACGGCGACGACUGCCAUUCCAGUGACGGCUUCACUCGAUUUAAACCUACACGAGCACACCGAAGAUGACUAGGUAAAUUCCUCCCCAGAGGAUAAUCCAUAUUAUGAUAAAUGGAACCCAUUCUAAAUAAAUGAAUAAUGCCGCUAUCUGUGGAUAAAUUAAUUGACUUCCUGAGGAAUAAAAGUACAACAUCAAAUUACCUGCAAACUGAACGCUAGAAGACCCGCAAGCACAUUGAUUAGCGUCACUUAGCCAUGAUGAAACAAAAUCGUCUUAAUUCCGAAUGCCAGUUGAAGCAAUAUGGAAUGCCAUCCAAGCGUUCAACGACCAGUGCCACUGAUAAAGGAAAUGCUUAAGUGUCAAAGUGUCUUCUCUUACUAAUCAACUGUAAAAGGCCAGUACGUUUGCACACAAUCGGAUUUAAGAGGCAUGUCGAAUGAAUCAUCCCCAUUGCGGUGGCGCCACUGUUUUUCCGGUAUGUUGCUAUGUUCUACACGUCAAUAUUUGAUUCAUGUCAUAGUACAAGGUAAACAUUCAUGUUCCAAAUGUUUUAAGCAAAGACGUUAGUCAUAGGAGGAGCUUUUGAAGCUAUAAAUAUGUUGAGAAUGACAACCAGACCUCCGCUGCAAAUCAUCAACGAGUCGAUGGCUACUCGGCCACCUAUUUCAAAAGAGAAGAAACCAUUCACAUCUAUCGAUAAACUCGCUGUACGAGCUUACGUUCCAAGCGUGCAACCCAAUUAAUGUGAAUCCAAUCAACAUGGAAUAGACUGCCAGAGCUUUGAUGCAAAGAAGCAAACAGGACGAGAAAGGCUCCACCCCAGAUACCCGUACAAACCAAAUCCGGGAUGAAGGUUGCAUCACUAACUGCUAGUGCUGCAAUCUGUGUGGGUAGUGUGGGUACCAAACUUUUAUAAGCUGAGAUGCAACCAAUAGCAUCAAAUAUGGCAAGAAAAUUCAAAGUUCAGUAUUAAAGAUCAAGCACUGGAUUACGAACAAUGCCAACCAAUUGCAUGUUAAAUAACAAAUGUUUUAUUUCAUUCUAUUUGGUUCAGGUUGACCUAAGCUGCAAUUAAAAUCAAAAUGUAAAAUCAAGGUGUUUUUUGUUUAAGAGCCCAAGUCCACAUUUGUGUUAUCCGAAAAAAUGUUAAGGAUUCAAAAUCGUACAUAAUUUCAAUCCAUAGACUAUCGUGGGAAUCAACUUGCAAUUGUGGAGUAAUCCUUGAUUGCUUCUAAGGCUCUUUGAGUAAGAAAUCAGUAGCGUGAUACCAAUCAACGAAGCCUUCACUGCCAUUCCAAUGAUGAUUCUCUUGGUUUUCAGCCUGUAAACAUAGUUUGUGUAAAACAACAUAGCACUUACAGGCUUUAAGAUGCUCACGUGAAACUCACUUUUUACUGAUGAGAAAAAGAGCAAAUACGACCAGGAAGAUUGCUCCCCAGAUCUCUACAGAAGCACCGCUUGAAGCCGUGAAGCCUAAGAUGACGAAAAGACCCAAGAAUAGGUUACUUAUUGCAAGAACAGUCUCCAUAUGAAGAAAAUGAUCAGAUCUGUGCAGAAAUCUGUCAAUUCAUUCAUCGAACGGAAAUGGGUGUUCUGUAAGUGCCAUUCCCAAACUGAAAAACGAAUCUAUACUGUGUAUGGUAUGUAGACUAAUGAGCUCAUAGAUGAAAGGAAGUGAAUCAGCUAAAGUGAUAACGAGAAGGUCGUGAGUACUGUAAAGUCAGCAUGAUGUUAAAUCGCUGAUAAGGAGGAAAACAAAACCAGAAAGGUAAAAUAAUCACGCGCGAAAAGUAAAGAAUUGGCGCCAACCACCAGGUGGCUUCCGGGGUUCUCGCAACUUGUUCGAGCAAUUCAACUUGUGAAAUUUUGUAGUCCACAGACUCUACACGAGAACGUGUAAAGUAAAUCAUUAUUUGAUUUGUUUGAAAGGCACUGCAAGGUUUCGAUGUAUUCUUGACAAUGAAUAUAUAUUUAGUAAACAGAAGUCAAAUGCAAUACUAAAGGCACAAACAAUUCAGGCAGUUUAAGAGAGACGUUUCAAUGGGUGUAGAACUACCACUAGAAGGGGUGGACGACCCACGACGUGAGUUUGUUUGAAAAGAUAAAUGUCUACGGACACUAGCUGCAUUGCUGCUGGUAGCUGACGAAACGGUGGCUGUAUCGUCAUCUGCCGCAGCCAGUUCUUCCUCACUUCGACCCUCUGCAAUGGUGGAGGACAACACGUCCGUUCGUGGACUGUAGUGCGGAUGAAAUCGGUUAUUGCGUUGCUGUUGCUGCUGACUAAGCCUACUGGCAAUGUAGCUCACUCUAGCACUACGACGAAUCAAAUUCUCCAGUGCCGGAUGUUUCGUCACUGGACUAAUAUCAGGAGAAAUGGGCGGCCCUCCUUUGUUCGCGACUAUUCCGGCCGGUGGAGGUUGGGUAGCUUUGAGUUGCUCUACGGCCGAAAUCUUUUUAUUAGACGCCGGAUGAUGGAGCUGCUGGAGCAGCUUUCGUUUGAAAUCAGAAAUGGUGGUUCGUUUGACCAAUCCGAUAGAAUGUACAACCAUUUUGGGUUGUGGUGAUGAGGAAGCAAGUGCUGCAGCAUCUGAGGGUCGGAACGGCCAAGGACCGGGACGGAUAUCCACGGAAUCGUUCAAGCUGGACGUGGAAAAGGAACCAUCGAGCGAACAAGAGGAAAACGAAGGUGUUGGCGAUGAUCCUCCUCGUUGUUGCUGAUGCUGUUGAUGCUGUUGAUGCUGUUGAUGCUGUUGAUGCUGUUGAUGCUGUUGAUGCUGUUGAUGCUGUUGAUGCUGUUGAUGCUGGACAGUACUGGGAGACCCAGACGCCGUUGAAGAGCUGAAAGAAUUGGAACGUUUGACGGAAAAUUCCAGAAACCCGCCUUCUUCUGGGCUUUCUCUUCCGCUAUUUCUGGCUGCCAUUGCUGCUGUUUUCGACGGAGAUGGCAGUGUGCUAGUUCUCCUUUCGUUAUUUCCAGAGUUUGGGCUUGGCAAAUACUGAUUGUUUUCCGGUUCGAAUGAAGAGCGUCUUCCAGUCAAGGAGGCAUAAUAAUCAGCCACCGUUUUGAAUCGAGCCGGAAGCGAAUUGUAGCGCAAAUCUUUUCGUUGAAAUUCUGCCGAUGCUGACGUGUUAGACAGCUGGGCCAAAGGCAAUGCGGACAUCCUGGGCGGAGGUGACAAAGACUGAUAGCCCGGAAGAGGUGAAGCGUCGUUCAAUUUCGAACUAGUUCCGGCACCAUCUCCAUCUAUUGUAAAAAACCAUUUUCGACAAGGCCGGAUUUCCUGACCAAUAAGAAAUCGAUGUUUAAAAAAAAACUAAGGCCGUUUAUUAGCCAAAAACAAAAUUUUUUUUUUCGUACGAAAAAAAAAAAA